UACAGAGGUCUCAAGCGUUGUUCGGAUUCAUUGGGCGUAAAGGGUGUGUAGGUGGCGCGCUAAGUCGGGUGUGAAAUUUCGGAGCUUAACUCCGAAACUGCAUUCGAUACUGGCGUGCUUGAGGACUGGAGAGGAGACUGGAAUUCAUGGUGUAGCAGUGAAAUGCGUAGAGAUGUGGAGGAACACCGAUGGCGAAGGCAGCCCCCUGGGCUGAGAUUGACGCUCAGGCACGAAAGCGUGGGGAGCAAACAGG
rnacentral:rRNA from 1 species